GAUGAACGCUGGCGGCGUGCCUAACACAUGCAAGUCGAGCGAUUUACUUCGGUAAAGAGCGGCGGACGGGUGAGUAACGCGUGGGUAACCUGCCCUGUACACACGGAUAACAUACCGAAAGGUAUGCUAAUACGGGAUAAUAUGCUUUUAUCGCACGGUAGAAGUAUCAAAGCUCCGGCGGUACAGGAUGGACCCGCGUCUGAAUAGCUAGUUGGUAAGGUAACGGCUUACCAAGGCGACGAUCAGUAGCCGACCUGAGAGGGUGAUCGGCCACAUUGGAACUGAGACACGGUCCAAACUCCUACGGGAGGCAGCAGUGGGGAAUAUUGCACAAUGGGCGAAAGCCUGAUGCAGCAACGCCGCGUGAGCGAUGAAGGCCUUCGGGUCGUAAAGCUCUGUCCUCAAGGAAGAUAAUGACGGUACUUGAGGAGGAAGCCCCGGCUAACUACGUGCCAGCAGCCGCAGUAA
rnacentral:rRNA from 1 species